UUAAGGAUGUGACUCAGAAAAGCUU
rnacentral:piRNA from 1 species